GGUAAAUUGAACUGGUUCAUUAGCGGAGAUUGAUUUGGGAUCUGAACUAGAUAUGGUCAGUGUAUACAGAUCUGAGAAUCUUGGUAACUUUGAAGAGAUUACCAGUCCAGUGCUGGUGAAGGAUCCUGCAGGAGGAUAUGUGAACAAAAUUGCGUUCUUCUCCUUGGUGUAAACAAUAAACUGCAAGAUCCCAUUAAAAACUACAUACAAUAUAAUGCAGCCGAUCAAGAAAUCGCGAUUCUCAGGGAAUUUCUUUUUGUAAAACUGAGCCACCAAAGCAAUGAUUAUGAUGAUAGUGCCCAUAAUCAAUUUGACAUUACUCAACCUCACGUCUUCAACAUAGCCGCGGCUGGUGACAAUCUCAGAAACAGAUUCAUCGAGUAGGUGUUUGAGGGAGUGAUGAUCCAAGAGAUUGGCCUUUUUGGCACUUUUGGCCGCCAUUUUUGAUAUAUUUCGGUUUCAGUUCUC
rnacentral:misc_RNA from 1 species